AUUUUAGCCCAGGAGAUGAAAGGUGAUAGCUCUACUGAAAUUCCAACGACCCAUUUCAAGAAUGGCACACGCAGAAGAAUUUUAAUAUGUUGAAACUAAGAACGCAUUGGUUAGAAUCAAUAAUUUGUGAAUGUAUCAAAUCAAUUCAUUCGCAUGUUAGCUUUAAAACCAGCAUAUUUUUAAAACAACAAAAUUUCUAGUUGAAUGAAAAUAUGGUAGUAGAUUUUCGCUUCAACAAUUUACAAUUAUUAUUUCUAUAAUUGUGAUUUUUAGAAUCUACAAUAUUUUUUAUUUAUGGUCGCCAUCAUGUAUUUGUGAGAAAAAGUGACGCGAACGAAAUGAAUAGAGCUGAAAGUAUAUCCGGUGAAAAACGAUAAGAAUUCAUUAAAUUGCUGCAAAUUUUUGAUUUAUCAGACGGUAAGCAUUUGAGGCAAGUUAAUACUUUCAGAAGGCAUUUCAUUUAUAUAUCACACAAUUUAUUUUCAGCCAAUAUGUGCCGAAGAAAUGGAAACUAUACUUUUAGCGGCGGGAGGAAAACUAUCGCACAAGAAAAGCAAAAGAAUGUGCCGUCCGGGUUAUUCAGCAACGACAACGGCUGGUGAAAUUCGAUGUGAGCUGCUCACAACCUAUGGAACCAUCCAGAGAUGAACUUUGUUCUAGAACAUCACAAUCAUUCAUUCUGAUUAGAUAAACAUGAUUAUAUAAUAAACGAGCAAGCAUCAAUAAAAA
rnacentral:lncRNA from 1 species